GACAGAGGGUGCAAACGUUGUUCGGAUUUACUGGGCGUAAAGCGCGUGUAGGCGGCUUUGCAAGUCGGAUGUGAAAGCCCACGGCUUAACCGUGGAAGUGCAUCCGAAACUGCAUGGCUCGAGUCUCGGAGAGGAAGGUGGAAUGCUUGGUGUAGAGGUGAAAUUCGUAGAUAUCAAGCAGAACACCUGCGGCGAAGGCGGCCUUCUGGACGAUGACUGACGCUGAGACGCGAAAGCGUGGGGAGCAAACAGG
rnacentral:rRNA from 1 species